GAUCAAUGAUGAAAAUAGCCAAAUCUGAGCAUCAGAAGGAUCCCCAUCCACUGGUGCAUGAUCUCCAGUUCUGAGA